AGGAAUGUUACUAAUGUUUUUUAUUUUAUAAAAUUUCAGCAAAAUGCAAGGCCAAAAUGAAGAAAAAUCAGAAGAAGAAAUUACUAUUAUACCGGAUAAAGAAAUUACUUAUGGAAGAAAAAGGGAAGUUGUUGAAAAUGAUGCGGAAGUAAUUGACAAAGCUGAAUUUGAGAAACAUGUGCAAAGUCAAAAAUGAAAAAAAAGUGCCAAGCUUUCAUCAAGGAUUCAACCAACUAGAAAAAUGAAAAA